GAAAGUUGUUUGAGCGGCGCGGGUCACGUGAGCGGAAGAUGGCGGCCCCCGGCGGCGGCGGCGGCGGCUCCGCGGUGUCGGUGCUGGCCCCCAACGGCAGGCGCCACACGGUGAAGGUGACGCCGAGCACCGUGCUGCUGCAGGUUUCAGAGGACUGUGCUGGACCUCUCUCUGCAGUGGAGGUUUGCCAACCUGCCCAAGAACGCCAAGCUGGAGAUGGUGCCUGCCUCCCGGGCUCGCGAGGGGCCCGAGAACAGGGUAGGUGGCUCUGGGCCGGGCUCUCCCAGCGCCUUCACCGGGCCCUUGGCCCCUGGGACGUUGAUCAGGUCCGGAUUGCUUUGCAGCUGGAUGAUGGCUCCAGGUUGCAAGAUACCUUCUGUUCGGGCCAGACGCUCUGGGAGCUUCUCAGCCACUUUGCACAGACCAGGGAGUGCCUGGAGCAGCUGCGGGAGGGGGCCCCGGCCUGCGUUUACAUGCGGGACGAGGUGACCGGCCAGGCCGCUUUACAGAGGACGACGCUGCAGUCGCUGGGUGUCACCGGGGGCAGCGCCAUCAUCAGGUUUGUCGUGAAGCCCUGCAAUGCCGCUGGCCGCCAGGAGCCCGCAGGGCCCGGGAGCAGGGCCCCGGGAAGCCCGGUCCCCUCCGUCUCUGCCAACCAGACACCAGGCCACGCUCAGCUGCCUCUGAGCUCUGGUGGGCUCAGCGGGGGCGACCUGAGCCCCCAGCCCGACGCGGGCCCUGUGGAGACCAGCUGCGCAGAUGGCCUCAGCCCCAAGUCAGCGGACACAGUCGCCGAGCCGGGCACAGCGGGGGCCACCCCUGCCCCCUUCGUUCCUUUCUCAGGGGGAGGACAGCGGCUGGGCGGCCCCUCACAGCCUGUGAGGUCUCUGGUGUCACCUUCAGCCAAAUUGCUAACAUCCCCUAGCCCUGGAGGCCCCUCCAAGCCGAAGAAGUCAAAGCCGGGCCAGGAGGCCCAACAAGCAGCAGAGCCGGCCCUCCUGCCCACGCAGCGUUCCUGCCCGGGGCCAGCUCAUGUCAGUGUGUACACCUGUCAGGGCCGACGGCCGACCCAGAGCCCAGCAGACGAAGAGGCAACCUCAGGCAGGAACGUUGACGUGCCUGGUUUGUCUCUCCCCCAAUGCGAGCCCGAGGACCGAGCCCCGGCUGUCUUCCACCCCGACCAUGAGGAGCCGCUGCGGGUCUGGCCCACCGAGCUGCCCGCCGAGUUCUUCGAGGUGACCGUGGACGACGUGCGGAGACGCCUGGCCCAGCUCCAGAGCGAGCGGAGGCGCCUGGAGGAGGCCCCACUCGUGACCAAGGCCUUCAGAGAGGCGCAGGUGAAGCAGAGGCUGGAGCGGUACCCGAAGGUGGUCCUGCGGGUCCUGUUCCCCGACCGCCACGUUCUGCAGGGCUUCUUCUGCCCCAGCGAGACAGUGGGGGACCUGCAGGACUUCGUGAGAAGCCACCUGGGUGACGCGGAGCUGCCGUUCCACCUGUUCAUCGCACCUCCAAAGACGGUCCUGAGUGACAGCACACAGACCCUCUUCCAGGAGGCCAUGGGAAAGGCACCUCAUCCUGCUCCCGCCUGCAGAUUCCUGACCCCCACCCCACGGCGUCUCCUCCAUCGUCCGCUCCUCCUGGAACCAGCAGGGGUCUGGGCUGGCGUCCCCGCCCAUGAUCAGAGAGCUGGCAGGCUUGUGCCCAGCGCUCCAGUGGGACAGCACACGAUGGGGGCAGCCAGAGAACUGUGGUGGGGGGCUUUGGCUCCUGGACUGGGAGGGCUGGGGCAGAGGGGAGAAGUGUGGGGGCCCCCAACCCAUCCCUGCUGCUGGUCCUGGGCUCCGGGGAGGCUCUGGCACUGUCCCCUCAGCCCCAGGCCCCGCCCAGCUGCCCCUCCCGGAAGCCUCCGGCGCCUCCCGGGCACCAGGGCCACCCCCGCCCGGCCGCCCCGUUGUGGCUUUGAUCGCUGGCCGCAUGAUUGGGGUUUCAGGGCCCUCGCUGCCCUCACCGUGUCCCGGGCUGGAGGCUGAGGUUUCUGGCCCAGCCUGGCCUUUGAAGCCGCCCCCCGCCCGGGGCCCAGAGCCGGCAGCGGAAGGAAUGCAGCCGCGGUGGCCCUGCCCUGCCGGCUGCCCUGCACCCCGCUCCCCCGUCGGGACCUCCCCAGGGUAGACGGGGAGCGGGUGCUGCCCGGAGCCCCAGGUGGGGUGUGGGACCCCUGCCUGUGGUGCUGACUCAGUGGGAGGGGACUUCGGCCGGCUCUGUCCCCACCAGGCUUGGUCCCUCGUGCCGUGUCAGGGGGUGUGGGUGCUCCCCCAGGGGCGCAGGACCCCAAAGCAACUGGGCUCCAAGAGCAAGGCUCCCCCACCCUCACACCCCCUGGCCAGCUGGCUCCUGCCUCGUGUCCCUGGGCCCUCUGCUCCCUCAGUGGGGUGGGGUCCCCCUGCUGACUCCCCAGGGGCUCCCUCUCAUGCCCCAGUGGUCCCCAAGUAAACCCCAUACCUGAGUCCUGUGCAAGUCAGGACCCGUCUCAGAAACGGGGUGUGUGGCCAGCCCUGGAGCCCAGGCUGCUAUGCUUUCUCCGCCAUCUCCUGGGAGACAGCACCUAAUUACCUGAUCAUGGUGACUGGGGAGGAUGGGACUGGGGUGCAGCUGAGGACAAUGGGGUCAGCGUGAUGGGUGCACUGGGGAGGACGGCUGGGGUGCACUGGGGAGGACGGCUGGGGUACGCUGGGGUGUGCCGAGCAGGAGGGGACCUGCUGUGGGACCUAGUCCCCUGUGGACCCCAGGGCACGCAGCAUGCAGGGCCUGAGCCUGCCUCCGCCUGGCCAGCUCUCCCUUUCCUGGGGGCAGUGGCCGCCCAGGCCUGGAGCCCUUUCCUGUCUGUUAGCCAGGCGUUUUCUCUGCCCUUUGGGCUGUCCCACAGGGCAGUGCCACGGGACUGGUGGGGAGCCGGGGACAUGGGCUCAGUUGGCUCCUCGGGGGGUCGGUCACCCGCCUCAUGGUUGAGGGGGGGAGAGAGGACUAAAUAACCCAGAAUGUGUGCACAGGAGCCCCGAUUCCCAGCCUACAGCUGGCAAGAAAGGAGGCUGCUGCUUGGGGCUGGACCCCCAGGUCUUUGGGGUCUAAGGCCUUUUGGCGGCAGGGCUGGCGCUGAGGACUCUGUGGUGGGGCUGAGACGGGCUCGUGGCACCGGGCAGAUGCUCCUGCAGGAUGGGAGCAGGUGGCGUGGCUCUCCCGCUGCUCCCGAGCCCUCCGUUCUUCCUGCAGGCCAGCCUCUUUCCUGCCGCCCUUGUGCACUUCGGAACCGAAGAGCCAACAGGCCCCUACCUGGAGCCCCGGCUGCUGGAGCGCGCCAUCUCCCCGUCCUCGGCCAAUGCACUGGUGGCCAAGUCCAUGUCCUGGACUGCAGCCCCCCUG